AUGAACGCUAGCUACAGGCUAACACAUGCAAGUCAGGGGCAGCAUGAUCGAAGCUUGCUUUGAUUGAUGGCGACCGGCGCACGGGUGAGUAACGCGUAUCCAACCUCCCCAUAGUAGAGAAUAGCCCGGCGAAAGUCGGAUUAAUGCUCUAUGUUGUAUCAUGAGGACAUCUGAAUAAUACCAAAGGUUCACCGCUAUGGGAUGGGGAUGCGUCUGAUUAGGUUGUUGGCGGGGUAACGGCCCACCAAGCCUACGAUCAGUAGGGGUUCUGAGAGGAAGGUCCCCCACAUUGGUACUGAGACACGGACCAAACUCCUACGGGAGGCAGCAGUGAGGAAUAUUGGUCAAUGGACGAGAGUCUGAACCAGCCAAGUAGCGUGCAGGAAUGACUGCCCUAUGGGUUGUAAACUGCUUUUAUCAGGGAAUAAAGUGAGGCACGUGUGCCUUUUUGUAUGUACCUGAUGAAUAAGGACCGGCUAAUUCCGUGCCAGCCGCGGC
rnacentral:rRNA from 1 species